rnacentral:rRNA from 1 species
UACGUAGGGGGCAAGCGUUGUCCGGAAUCAUUGGGCGUAAAGCGCGCGUAGGCGGCCCGAUAAGUCUGCUGUGAAAGUCCAGGGCUCAACCCUGGAAUGCCGGUGGAUACUGUCGGGCUAGAGUCCGGAAGAGGAGUGUGGAAUUCCUGGUGUAGCGGUGAAAUGCGCAGAUAUCAGGAGGAACACCAAUGGCGAAGUCAGCACUCUGGGACGUGACUGACGCUGAGACGCGAAAGCGUGGGGAGCAAACAGG